GACGAACGCUGGCGGCGUGCUUAACACAUGCAAGUCGAACGAUGAAGCUAGAGCUUGCUCUGGUGAAUUAGUGGCGAACGGGUGAGUAACACGUGAGUAACCUGCCCCGAACUCUGGGAUAACUGCUGGUGACGGUAGCUAAUACUGGAUACGACCUACGAAGGCAUCUUCUGUAGGUGGAAAGAAUUUCGGUUCGGGAUGGACUCGCGGCCUAUCAGCUUGUUGGUGAGGUAAUGGCUCACCAAGGCGACGACGGGUAGCCGGCCUGAGAGGGUGACCGGCCACACUGGGACUGAGACACGGCCCAGACUCCCACGGGAGGCAGCAGUGGGGAAUAUUGCACAAUGGGCGCAAGCCUGAUGCAGCAACGCCGCGUGAGGGAUGACGGCCUUCGGGUUGUAAACCUCUUUUAGUAGGGAAGAAGCGAAAGUGACGGCACCUGCAGAAAAAGCACCGGCUAACUACGUGCCAGCAGCCGCAGUAA
rnacentral:rRNA from 1 species